rnacentral:rRNA from 1 species
GAUGAACGCUGGCGGCGUGCCUAAUACAUGCAAGUCGAGCGAACGGACGAGAAGCUUGCUUCUCUGAUGUUAGCGGCGGACGGGUGAGUAACACGUGGAUAACCUACCUAUAAGACUGGGAUAACUUCGGGAAACCGGAGCUAAUACCGGAUAAUAUUUUGAACCGCAUGGUUCAAAAGUGAAAGACGGUCUUGCUGUCACUUAUAGAUGGAUCCGCGCUGCAUUAGCUAGUUGGUAAGGUAACGGCUUACCAAGGCAACGAUGCAUAGCCGACCUGAGAGGGGGAUCGGCCACUCUGGAGCUGAGACACGGUCCAGACUCCUACGGGAGGCAGCAGUAGGGAAUCUUCCGCAAUGGGCGAAAGCCUGACGGAGCAACGCCGCGUGAGUGAUGAAGGUCUUCGGAUCGUAAAACUCUGUUAUUAGGGAAGAACAUAUGUGUAAGUAACUGUGCACAUCUUGACGGUACCUAAUCAGAAAGCCACGGCUAACUACGU